GAUGAAGAACGCAGCGAAAUGCGAUAAGUAAUGUGAAUUGCAGAAUUCAGUGAAUCAUCGAAUCUUUGAACGCACAUUGCGCCCAUUAGUAUUCUAGUGGGCAUGCCUGUUCGAGCGUCAUUAAGUCCACUUAAGCCCUGCUUAGUGUUGGGAGACUGCUCCAGCGGUGCUACCCUGUAGCUACCCUGCAGCUCCUCAAAGACAGCGGCGGAGCUGUGGUAUCCUCUGAGCUUAGUAACUUGUUCUAGCUUUCGAGUACACCACUUCCCCUGCCGUAAAACCCUUAAUUUUUAAUGGUUGACCUCGGAUCAGGUAGGAAUACCCGCUGAACUUAAGCAUAUCAAUAAGCGGAGGA
rnacentral:misc_RNA from 1 species